rnacentral:SRP_RNA from 1 species
CGUCGGUCCCCUCGCAACGUGAAGCCGUGAACCCGGUCAGGCCCGGAAGGGAGCAGCCGCAGCGGUGGAUGUGUGUGCCGGGGUGUGGCUGGCGCGG